rnacentral:rRNA from 1 species
UGAGGAAUAUUGGUCAAUGGACGCAAGUCUGAACCAGCCAAGUAGCGUGCAGGAUGACGGCCCUAUGGGUUGUAAACUGCUUUUAUAUGGGGAUAAAGUGGGGAACGUGUUCCCUUUUGCAGGUACCAUAUGAAUAAGGACCGGCUAAUUCCGUGCCAGCAGCCGCGGUAAUACGGAAGGUUCGGGCGUUAUCCGGAUUAAUUGGGUUUAAAGGGAGCGUAGGCCGUUUGGUAAGCGUGUUGUGAAAUGUAGGAGCUCAACUUCUAGAUUGCAGCGCGAACUGUCAGACUUGAGUGCGCACAACGUAGGCGGAAUUCAUGGUGUGGCGGUGAAAUGCUUAGAUAUCAUGAAGAACUCCGAUUGCGAAGGCAGCUUACGGGAGCGCAACUGACGCUGAAGCUCGAAGGUGCGGGUAUCGAACAGG